rnacentral:rRNA from 1 species
CCUACGGGUGGCAGCAGUGAGGAAUAUUGGUCAAUGGACGAGAGUCUGAACCAGCCAAGUAGCGUGAAGGAUGACUGCCCUAUGGGUUGUAAACUUCUUUUAUAUGGGAAUAAAAUGUUCCACGUGUGGGAUUUUGUAUGUACCAUAUGAAUAAGGAUAGGCUAACUCCGUUCCAGCAGCCGCGGUAAUACGGAGGAUCCGAGCGUUAUCCGGAUUUAUUGGGUUUAAAGGGAGCGUAGGUGGAUUGUUAAGUCAGUUGUGAAAGUUUGCGGCUCAACCGUAAAAUUGCAGUUGAAACUGGCAGUCUUGAGUACAGUAGAGGUGGGCGGAAUUCGUGGUGUAGCGGUGAAAUGCUUAGAUAUCACGAAGAACUCCGAUUGCGAAGGCAGUUCACUGGACUGCAACUGACACUGAGGCUCGAAAGUGUGGGUAUCAAACAGGAUUAGAUACCCGGGUAGUC